rnacentral:rRNA from 1 species
UACGGAGGGUGCAAGCGUUAAUCGGAAUUACUGGGCGUAAAGCGCACGUAGGUGGAUGUUUAAGUCGGAUGUGAAAUCCCUGAGCUUAACUUAGGAAUUGCAUUCGAUACUGGGCGUCUAGAGUAUAGUAGAGGGAAGUGGAAUUUCCGGUGUAGCGGUGAAAUGCGUAGAUAUCGGAAGGAACAUCAGUGGCGAAAGCGGCUUCCUGGACUAAUACUGACACUUAGGUGCGAAAGCGUGGGGAGCAAACAGG